GACGAACGCUGGCGGCGUGCUUAACACAUGCAAGUCGAACGGAAAGGCCCUGCUUUUGUGGGGUGCUCGAUUGGCGAACGGGUGAGUAACACGCGAGUAACCUGCCCCUGACUUUGGGAUAACUUCAGGAAACUGGGGCUAAUACCGCAUAGGAUCUCCUGCUGCAUGGGGGGGGUUGGAAAGUUUCGGCGGUUGGGGAUGGACUCGCGGCAUAUCAGCUUGUUGGUGGGGUAGUGGCUUACCAAGGCUUUGACGGGUAGCCGGCCUGGGAGGGUGAACGGCCACAUUGGGACUGAGAUACGGCCCAGACUCCUACGGGAGGCAGCAGUGGGGAGUAUUGCACAAUGGGCGGAAGCCUGAUGUAGCAGCGCCGCGUGCGGGAUGACGGCCUUCGGGUUGUAAACCGAUUUCGCCUGUGACGAGGCGUGAGUGACGGUAAUGGGUAAAGAAGCACCGGCUAACUACGUG
rnacentral:rRNA from 1 species